rnacentral:rRNA from 2 species
UUAAGUUAUUAAGGGCGCACGGUGGAUGCCUUGGCACUAGAAGCCGAUGAAGGACGUUACUAACGACGAUAUGCUUUGGGGAGCUGUAAGUAAGCUUUGAUCCAGAGAUUUCCGAAUGGGGAAACCCAGCAUGAGUUAUGUCAUGUUAUCGAUAUGUGAAUACAUAGCAUAUCAGAAGGCACACCCGGAGAACUGAAACAUCUUAGUACCCGGAGGAAGAGAAAGAAAAUUCGAUUCCCUUAGUAGCGGCGAGCGAAAUGGGAAGAGCCCAAACCAACAAGCUUGCUUGUUGGGGUUGUAGGACACUCUAUACGGAGUUACAAAGGACGACAUUAGACGAAUCAUCUGGAAAGAUGAAUCAAAGAAGGUAAUAAUCCUGUAGUCGAAAAUGUUGUCUCUCUUGAGUGGAUCCUGAGUACGACGGAGCACGUGAAAUUCCGUCGGAAUCUGGGAGGACCAUCUCCUAAGGCUAAAUACUCUCUAGUGACCGAUAGUGAACCAGUACCGUGAGGGAAAGGUGAAAAGCACCCCGGAAGGGGAGUGAAAUAGAACCUGAAACCGUGUGCUUACAAGUAGUCAGAGCCCGUUAAUGGGUGAUGGCGUGCCUUUUGUAGAAUGAACCGGCGAGUUACGAUUUGAUGCAAGGUUAAGCAGUAAAUGUGGAGCCGUAGCGAAAGCGAGUCUGAAUAGGGCGUUUAGUAUUUGGUCGUAGACCCGAAACCAGGUGAUCUACCCUUGGUCAGGUUGAAGUUCAGGUAACACUGAAUGGAGGACCGAACCGACUUACGUUGAAAAGUGAGCGGAUGAACUGAGGGUAGCGGAGAAAUUCCAAUCGAACCUGGAGAUAGCUGGUUCUCUCCGAAAUAGCUUUAGGGCUAGCCUCAAGUGAUGAUUAUUGGAGGUAGAGCACUGUUUGGACGAGGGGCCCCUCUCGGGUUACCGAAUUCAGACAAACUCCGAAUGCCAAUUAAUUUAACUUGGGAGUCAGAACAUGGGUGAUAAGGUCCGUGUUCGAAAGGGAAACAGCCCAGACCACCAGCUAAGGUCCCAAAAUAUAUGUUAAGUGGAAAAGGAUGUGGCGUUGCCCAGACAACUAGGAUGUUGGCUUAGAAGCAGCCAUCAUUUAAAGAGUGCGUAAUAGCUCACUAGUCGAGUGACACUGCGCCGAAAAUGUACCGGGGCUAAACAUAUUACCGAAGCUGUGGAUUGUCCUUUGGACAAUGGUAGGAGAGCGUUCUAAGGGCGUUGAAGCAUGAUCGUAAGGACAUGUGGAGCGCUUAGAAGUGAGAAUGCCGGUGUGAGUAGCGAAAGACGGGUGAGAAUCCCGUCCACCGAUUGACUAAGGUUUCCAGAGGAAGGCUCGUCCGCUCUGGGUUAGUCGGGUCCUAAGCUGAGGCCGACAGGCGUAGGCGAUGGAUAACAGGUUGAUAUUCCUGUACCACCUAUAAUCGUUUUAAUCGAUGGGGGGGACGCAGUAGGAUAGGCGAAGCGUGCGAUUGGAUUGCACGUCUAAGCAGUAAGGCUGAGUAUUAGGCAAAUCCGGUACUCGUUAAGGCUGAGCUGUGAUGGGGAGAAGACAUUGUGUCUUCGAGUCGUUGAUUUCACACUGCCGAGAAAAGCCUCUAGAUAGAAAAUAGGUGCCCGUACCGCAAACCGACACAGGUAGUCAAGAUGAGAAUUCUAAGGUGAGCGAGCGAACUCUCGUUAAGGAACUCGGCAAAAUGACCCCGUAACUUCGGGAGAAGGGGUGCUCUUUAGGGUUAACGCCCAGAAGAGCCGCAGUGAAUAGGCCCAAGCGACUGUUUAUCAAAAACACAGGUCUCUGCUAAACCGUAAGGUGAUGUAUAGGGGCUGACGCCUGCCCGGUGCUGGAAGGUUAAGAGGAGUGGUUAGCUUCUGCGAAGCUACGAAUCGAAGCCCCAGUAAACGGCGGCCGUAACUAUAACGGUCCUAAGGUAGCGAAAUUCCUUGUCGGGUAAGUUCCGACCCGCACGAAAGGCGUAACGAUUUGGGCACUGUCUCAACGAGAGACUCGGUGAAAUCAUAGUACCUGUGAAGAUGCAGGUUACCCGCGACAGGACGGAAAGACCCCGUGGAGCUUUACUGUAGCCUGAUAUUGAAAUUCGGCACAGCUUGUACAGGAUAGGUAGGAGCCUUUGAAACGUGAGCGCUAGCUUACGUGGAGGCGCUGGUGGGAUACUACCCUAGCUGUGUUGGCUUUCUAACCCGCACCACUUAUCGUGGUGGGAGACAGUGUCAGGCGGGCAGUUUGACUGGGGCGGUCGCCUCCUAAAAGGUAACGGAGGCGCUCAAAGGUUCCCUCAGAAUGGUUGGAAAUCAUUCAUAGAGUGUAAAGGCAUAAGGGAGCUUGACUGCGAGACCUACAAGUCGAGCAGGGUCGAAAGACGGACUUAGUGAUCCGGUGGUUCCGCAUGGAAGGGCCAUCGCUCAACGGAUAAAAGCUACCCCGGGGAUAACAGGCUUAUCUCCCCCAAGAGUUCACAUCGACGGGGAGGUUUGGCACCUCGAUGUCGGCUCAUCGCAUCCUGGGGCUGUAGUCGGUCCCAAGGGUUGGGCUGUUCGCCCAUUAAAGCGGUACGCGAGCUGGGUUCAGAACGUCGUGAGACAGUUCGGUCCCUAUCCGUCGUGGGCGUAGGAAAUUUGAGAGGAGCUGUCCUUAGUACGAGAGGACCGGGAUGGACAUACCUCUGGUGUACCAGUUGUCGUGCCAACGGCAUAGCUGGGUAGCUAUGUGUGGACGGGAUAAGUGCUGAAAGCAUCUAAGCAUGAAGCCCCCCUCAAGAUGAGAUUUCCCAACUUCGGUUAUAAGAUCCCUCAAAGAUGAUGAGGUUAAUAGGUUCGAGGUGGAAGCAUGGUGACAUGUGGAGCUGACGAAUACUAAUCGAUCGAAGACUUAAUCAA